AGAAUAAAAAAUGUGUGAGGUGUCAGUCAGAGAAAGAUAUUAUAAAAAGUUAUUUAUCUGGCUGAUGAAAAGGGAAACAGGUGUGAAUCCUGUACGAACUCGUCACCGUAUUUUGCGAGCUUUGAAUCCUACAUGCCACUGGGAGACCGGGAAGGCUGAUUUUAGAGCGCCUGAGCAAUAAGCCGGGAUACCUGCCUUUCACAGUACAGGAACA
rnacentral:ncRNA from 19 species